GGGGGUGCUGGGUUGGAGAAUGUGACAGAGGACAAGAAUAGAAUACAGUUAUAGAACUGGAAUUCGCUUUUUCAUGCUAAUUUCCCUGAAUACGUUCCAGAGGACAAGGACUGUGUUGUUCAUCACAGUAUUCCAGAACUUAAAAGGAACUGGCACAUAAUUGGAGCUUACUAAUAUUCGUCAAAAAAAUGAACAAAUGAGGCAAUGACAGUGGUCUUGUGAAGCUGCUGCUAUUUACAGGGACUCACUCAUUCCGCAAGUAUUUUUUGCACCUCCUACCACACUCCACUCAGUUACAUGCUGGGAAUACCACAGUAAAGACUGGAGUGGCGUCUCACUGCUUCUAGAAGAUUGGAACUAUUACUGACUUGGUAUUCAUAUGGACCAAAGGUACCUCCUGUUGGACAUUCCUUAGGCCUGUCACAUAUGGUCCAAGAAAGCAGUAAGAUGGAAAAGAGAGACCAGCUAAGAGCUACUCCAAAUGCCCACACCAUCAGAUGAUCAUCCCAAGUGUCAGAGAUAUCUGUGAAUCAAGUGCUCAAAGCUACACACAUUGGGAGUGCUCUAAAAUUCCUAUCAAUACAGUUAUUCUUUUUCCCAGAACCAGAAGAGGCUCUCUUGAUGUAAUCUUAGAUACCAGGGAAUAUAAUGUUCAACCCAGGGAAAAAAAAGAGAGAACACCUAACCCAUCCCUACUUAUAUUUCCAGCAGUGGAGACUCACAGUCUUCCUCAUCAUCCAUCCUCCCUGUAAUCUACCUGAACCUCAAGUCUCUGAAUAAGCUUAUCUCACAUGUGACUUAGCUGUUGCUUUUUAUAGCAUGAACUAUUCAGCCUCCUACUAAGACCAUCUUUUCCAGAGAGGCUGAAUGGGUCUCAGUCUCUACUAAGGAAGCUCACAUCCUUCAGGAGCUUACCCAAAACAACAGUCACAUAUUUAGGCAUGCUGGCUUGUACAGCUCAGGUCAGCCAGAAAGGCCACAGCAGCUGCUGACCAUUAUACCACAUGUGAGCACUAACGGGGAUCAAUGAGUCAAGCCUUGAAAGGGCAGAACAGAAGGAAAGAAGUUACCAUUGGCCCUUGGAUCACCAGCAACUAGCUCGAAAGAGUCUGCCUAAUGAGGACUGCAUCCAGCCAUAACGAGCACCUAGUCUUUGAAGCCUGUGGCAUCCAGACAGUAUCACUUCCUACUUGACUGCUUUCAGGGGGCCUUCCACACAGCCACCCCUUACACUACACCCAUCUCCAAGGCUGAAGAGAAGACCUAGUGCACACUAUCUUGAGAGGCUUAGCCACACAUUUCAGUCCCCGUCCACAUCCACCCUCCCCCUGCCCCUGACAGCUCAAAUAUUCAGUCUCCACAUGUGUCUAUGUGCCUGUGUGUCUGUGUUUUAUUUAUACUACCCAUGUCUGUUGUUAGCAACAGAAACAAAGUACUUUAAGGCAGAAAAGGCAAGUCUGCCAAUUG
rnacentral:lncRNA from 1 species